rnacentral:rRNA from 1 species
CGUACACUCCUGCGGGAGGCAGCAGUGGGGAAUAUUGCACAAUGGGCGCAAGCCUGAUGCAGCCAUGCCGCGUGUAUGAAGAAGGCCUUCGGGUUGUAAAGUACUUUCAGCGGGGAGGAAGGCAAUACGGUUAAUAACCGUGUUGAUUGACGUUACCCGCAGAAGAAGCACCGGCUAACUCCGUGCCAGCAGCCGCGGUAAUACGGAGGGUGCAAGCGUUAAUCGGAAUUACUGGGCGUAAAGCGCACGCAGGCGGUCUGUCAAGUCGGAUGUGAAAUCCCCGGGCUCAACCUGGGAACUGCAUUCGAAACUGGCAGGCUUGAGUCUUGUAGAGGGGGGUAGAAUUCCAGGUGUAGCGGUGAAAUGCGUAGAGAUCUGGAGGAAUACCGGUGGCGAAGGCGGCCCCCUGGACAAAGACUGACGCUCAGGCGCGAAAGCGUGGGGAGCAAACAGGAUUAGAAACCCCUGUAGUCCC